rnacentral:rRNA from 1 species
ACGAACGCUGGCGGCGCGCCUAACACAUGCAAGUCGAACGAGCGAGAGAGAGCUUGCUUUCUUGAGCGAGUGGCGAACGGGUGAGUAACGCGUGAGGAACCUGCCUCAAAGAGGGGGACAACAGUUGGAAACGACUGCUAAUACCGCAUAAGCCCAAGGUGCCGCAUGGCACAGAGGGAAAAGGAGCAAUCCGCUUUGAGAUGGCCUCGCGUCCGAUUAGCUAGUUGGUGAGGUAACGGCCCACCAAGGCGACGAUCGGUAGCCGGACUGAGAGGUUGAACGGCCACAUUGGGACUGAGACACGGCCCAGACUCCUACGGGAGGCAGCAGUGGGGAAUAUUGCACAAUGGGGGAAACCCUGAUGCAGCGACGCCGCGUGGAGGAAGAAGGUCUUCGGAUUGUAAACUCCUGUUGUUGGGGAAGAUAAUGACGGUACCCAACAAGGAAGUGACGGCUAACUACGUG